rnacentral:rRNA from 15 species
GUGCUAAGGUAGCAUAAUCAUUUGCUACUUAAUUGGUAGCUGGAAUGAAAGGUUAAACUAGCUUAUUCAGUUUGUUGUGUUUUGUAAGAAAUUAAAGUCGAGGUAAGAAUUCUUUGAUCUGCUAGGGGACGAUAAGACCCUAGAAGCUUAACAAUAAGAGUAUUUAUUAGUUAUAAAAAUUAAUUUGUUUUACUGGGGCGGUAAAGGUAUAUUAACUAUUAGUGUAUUGAUAGAUCCUUAAAAUAAAGAUAAAACGGGAAAGUUACUCUAGGGGUAACAGUGCAAUAUUUUUGGAGAGAUCAUAUCGAUAAAAAUGUUUGCAACCUCGAUGUUGAAUUAAGAUGUCUACGUGAAGCAGCAGGUACGUGAGAGGGUUUGUUCAACCUUUAAAUUUUUACAUGAUCUGAGUUCAAACCG